AAAGGGAGACCUAAUUCAGGUAGGAGACGAAAAAAAAGUAGUCGCUACCAAGAAUCAAUCCCAAAAGGUCGGAGCGAGGCGAAAUUGGCUUUCAAACUAGGUUCUGGGUUCAAACAAGACCUGAAUCAGGAACAAGGGCUAUUAGCUCAGGUGGUUAGAGCGCACCCCUGAUAAGGGUGAGGUCCCUGGUUCGAGUCCAGGAUGGCCCACCUGCACAGGUGGCAAAAACAAGAGAAGCGAGGAAUCAGCACCUUAUCUUACUUAUAUAGUAAGAGAGAAUGCUGGCUCUGAGUACAGAGUCCAGAGGAACCUUGAAAACUGCAUAGAGCUAGGUGAAAAAGCCAAAAAAGAAGACCGCAAG
rnacentral:tRNA from 1 species